AACGAACGCUGGCGGCAUGCCUAACACAUGCAAGUCGAACGGGUGGCUUCGGCCAUCAGUGGCGCACGGGUGAGUAACGCGUGGGAAUCUGCCCAGCAGUGGGGGAUAAACUCUGGAAACGGAGGCUAAUACCGCAUACGCCCAUCGGGGGCAAGGCUUGCUGCUGCUGGAGGAGCCCGCGUCGGAUUAGGUAGUUGGUGGGGUAACGGCCUACCAAGCCGGUGAUCCGUAGCUGGUCUGAGAGGAUGAUCAGCCACACUGGGACUGAGACACGGCCCAGACUCCUACGGGAGGCAGCAGUGGGGAAUAUUGGACAAUGGGGGCAACCCUGAUCCAGCAAUGCCGCGUGAGUGAUGAAGGCCUUCGGGUUGUACAGCUCUUUCGCCCACGACGAUGAUGACGGUAGUGGGAGAAGAAGCCCCGGCUAACUUCGUGCCAGCCGCCGCGGUAACAC
rnacentral:rRNA from 1 species